GACGAACGCUGGCGGCGUGCUUAACACAUGCAAGUCGAACGGAAAGGCCCUGCUUUUGUGGGGUGCUCGAGUGGCGAACGGGUGAGUAACACGUGAGUAACCUGCCAUUGACUUUGGGAUAACUUCAGGAAACUGGGGCUAAUACCGGAUAGGAGCUACUGCUGCAUGGUGGGGGUUGGAAAGUUUCGGUGGUUGGGGAUGGACUCGCGGCUUAUCAGCUUGUUGGUUGGGUAGUGGGUUACCAAGCCUUUGACGGGUAGCCGGCCUGAUAGGGUGACCGGACACAUUGGGACUGAGAUACGGCCCAGACUCCUACGGGAGGGAGCGGUGGGGAAUAUUGCACAAUGGGCGGAAGCCUGAUGCAGCAACGCCGCGUGCGGUAAGACGGCCUUCGGGUUGGAAUCCGCUGUCGCCUGUGACGAAGCGUGAGUGACGGUAAUGGGUAAAGAAGCACCGGCUAACUACGUG
rnacentral:rRNA from 1 species